rnacentral:siRNA from 1 species
GGUCGAGUAUGUUGAGAGAUGGC